rnacentral:rRNA from 1 species
UACGUAGGGUGCGAGCGUUAAUCGGAAUUACUGGGCGUAAAGGGUGCGCAGGCGGUUAUAUAAGACAGAUGUGAAAUCCCCGGGCUCAACCUGGGAACUGCGUUUGUGACUGUAUGACUAGAGUACGGUAGAGAGGGGUGGAAUUCCACGUGUAGCAGUGAAAUGCGUAGAGAUGUGGAGGAACACCGAUGGCGAAGGCAGCCCCUGGGCUAACACUGACGCUCGAUGCACGAAAGCGUGGGGAGCAAACAGG